AUCUCUUUUUUCUUCUUCUUCUUAUCCUU
rnacentral:sRNA from 1 species